rnacentral:rRNA from 1 species
AGUGAACGCUGGCGGCGUGCCUAAUACAUGCAAGUCGAACGGAUUGGCGCACGGGUGCGUAAUAUAUAGCUAAUCUGCCCCUUGCUUUAGGACCACAGUUAGAAAUGACUGCUAAUACUCCAUAGCAAGGGAUGAGACUAUAUCGUGUCAGCUAGUCGGUGGGGUAACGGCCUACCGAGGCUAUGACGCGUAACUGGUCUGAGAGGAUGAUCAGUCACAUUGGAACUGAGACACGGUCCAAACUCCUACGGGAGGAAGAAGUAGGGAAUAUUGCGCAAUGGGGGAAACCCGGACGCAGCAACGCCGCGUGGAGGAUGACACUUAUCGGAGCGUAAACUCCGUUUGUUAGGGAAGCGGUACCGAACGAAUAAGCACAGGCUAACGCCGUGCCAGCAGCCGCGGUAAUAC